AUUUAGGUUGGAGUGCAGGAAUUGGUUUUGUUUUAUAUAUAUAUAUAUAAAACAAAACCAAUUCCUGCACUCCAACCUAAAU